rnacentral:rRNA from 1 species
AUUGAACGCUGGCGGCAUGCCUUACACAUGCAAGUCGAACGGCAGCACGGGGCUACCUGGUGGCGAGUGGCGAACGGGUGAGUAAUGCAUCGGAACGUACCUUUCAGUGGGGGAUAACGUGGCGACAGUUACGCUAAUACCGCAUAUUCUGUGAGCAGGAAAGAAGGGGAUCGCAAGACCUUGCGCGGAUUGAGCGGCCGAUGUCAGAUUAGCUAGUUGGUGAGGUAAAGGCUCACCAAGGCGACGGUCUGUAGCGGGUCUGAGAGGAUGAUCCGCCACACUGGAACUGAGACACGGUCCAGACUCCUACGGGAGGCAGCAGUGGGGAAUUUUGGACAAUGGGGGCAACCCUGAUCCAGCCAUGCCGCGUGAGUGAAGAAGGCCUUCGGGUUGUAAAGCUCUUUCGGCCGGGAAGAAAUCGCACGGGCUAAUACCCUGUGUGGAUGACGGUACCGGAAUAAGAAGCACCGGCUAACUACGUGCCAGCCGCCGCAGUAAUAC